GAUGAAGAACGUAGCAAAAUGCGAUAAGUAAUGUGAAUUGCAGAAUUCAGUGAAUCAUCGAAUCUUUGAACGCACAUUGCGCCCGCCAGUAUUCUGGCGGGCAUGCCUGUUCGAGCGUCAUUUCAACCCUCAAGCUCAGCUUGGUGUUGGGACUCGCGGUAACCCGCGUUCCCCAAAUCGAUUGGCGGUCACGUCGAGCUUCCAUAGCGUAGUAAUCAUACACCUCGUUACUGGUAAUCGUCGCGGCCACGCCAUAAAACCCCAACUUCUGAAUGUUGACCUCGGAUCAGGUAGGAAUACCCGCUGAACUUAAGCAUAUCAAUAAGCGGAGGA
rnacentral:misc_RNA from 1 species